GUGAGAAUGUUGGCAUGAGUAGCGAGAUGUGGGUGGGAAUCCCACAGGCCGUAAACCCAAGGUUUCCAGGGGAAGGUUCGUCCACCCUGGGUUAGUCGGGACCUAAGCUGAGGCCGAAAGGCGUAGGGGAUGGACAACAGGUUGAUAUUCCUGUACUACCGAUAACCGUUUGAGAGAAGGGAUGACACAGUAGGAUAAGCUAAGCACACUGUUGGUUAUGUGUGCCCAAGCAUUGAGGCAGUCAAAGUAGGCAAAUCCGCUUUGAUAAUGCUGGGAUGUGAUGGGGAGCGAAAUU
rnacentral:rRNA from 1 species